UACAGAGGUCUCAAGCGUUGUUCGGAUUCAUUGGGCGUAAAGGGUGCGUAGGUGGCGCCGUAAGUCGGGUGUGAAAUUUCGGAGCUUAACUCCGAAACUGCAUUCGAUACUGCGGUGCUUGAGGACUGGAGAGGAGACUGGAAUUCAUGGUGUAGCAGUGAAAUGCGUAGAGAUCAUGAGGAAGACCAGUGGCGAAGGCGGGUCUCUGGACAGUUCCUGACACUGGAGGCAACGAAGGCCAGGGGAGCAAACGGG
rnacentral:rRNA from 1 species